ACGGCUCAGUAACACGUGGAUAACCUACCCAAGAGUCCGGGAUAACCCCGGGAAACUGGGGAUAAUACCGGAUAGAUCAAACAGGCUGGAAGGCGGUUUGGUUGAAACUUCCGGGGCUUUUGGAUGGGUCUGCGGCUGAUUAGGUUGUUGCCGGUGUAAUGUACCGUCAAGCCUGUAAUCAGUACGGGUUGUGGGAGCAAGAGCCCGGAGAUGGAUUCUGAGACACGAAUCCAGGCCCUACGGGGCGCAGCAGGCGCGAAAACUCUACAAUGCAGGCAACUGCGAUAGGGGAACAUCGAGUGAUCCUCAUAUUGGGGGUCUGUCCACCCGCCUAAAAAGCGGGUGUUAGCAAGGGCCGGGCAAGACCGGUGCCAGCCGCCGCGGUAAUACCGGCGGCUCGAGUGGUGGCCGAUAUUAUUGAGUCUAAAGGGUCCGUAGCCGGCUUUGCAAGUCUCUCGGGAAAUCCAGCGGCUUAACCGUUGGUCGUCCGGGGGGUACUACAUUGCUUGGGACUGGGAGAGGUAGGAGGUACUCAGGGGGUAGGAGUGAAAUCCUGUAAUCCUUUGGGGACCACCGGUGGCGAAGGCGUCCUACCAGAACAGGUCCGACGGUGAGGGACGAAAGCUAGGGGCACGAACCGGAUUAGAUACCCGGGUAGUCCUAGCCGUAAACGAUGCUCGCUAGGUGUCACAACAGUCGUGAACUGUUGUGGUGCCGUAGGGAAGCCGUGAAGCGAGCCACUUGGGAAGUACGACCGCAAGGUUGAAACUUAAAGGAAUUGGCGGGGGAGCAC
rnacentral:rRNA from 1 species